ACUCCUACGGGAGGCAGCAGUGGGGAAUAUUGCACAAUGGGCGCAAGCCUGAUGCAGCCAUGCCGCGUGUAUGAAGAAGGCCUUCGGGUUGUAAAGUACUUUCAGCAGUGAGGAAGGCGGAGUCGUUAAUAGCGGCCUCGUUUGACGUUAGCUGCAGAAGAAGCACCGGCUAACUCCGUGCCAGCAGCCGCGGUAAUACGGAGGGUGCGAGCGUUAAUCGGAAUUACUGGGCGUAAAGCGCAUGCAGGUGGUUUGUUAAGUCAGAUGUGAAAGCCCGGGGCUCAACCUCGGAAUUGCAUUUGAAACUGGCAGACUAGAGUACUGUAGAGGGGGGUAGAAUUUCAGGUGUAGCGGUGAAAUGCGUAGAGAUCUGAAGGAAUACCGGUGGCGAAGGCGGCCCCCUGGACAGAUACUGACACUCAGAUAGCGAAAGCGUGGGGAAGCAAACAGGAUUAGAUA
rnacentral:rRNA from 1 species